rnacentral:rRNA from 1 species
AUGCCAGCCAGAUGGCUUCAGAUAGGACUAACAUUGGAAUAUUCAUGUGUUAUAGGCCAAUAUAGAUUUUCAUUUAACUUCUGGAUUGGUGCAGCUACAGGUUUCUUUGUAAAAAUUAUUGGUUAUUCUGAAAUCUUAUUAUUAGGUGUUAAGCUUCAGGCUGAUGUAUUGGUUGAGAUCGAGGAGAGAAUUUUUUUGUGGCCUUCUCCAUUAGAAUAUUUCUCCUCAAUGACCAUAUCAACCUGUCUGGUGUUUGCACAUGUCAUUUUGGUUCAGGUUACCGCCAUUCCGCCUCUUCCUUGUGAUGGUAUAGGAGUACAUACUAAUUCGAUAAACAAGAGGCGAAGUUGCCAACGCCUGAGAUAG